UUCAAUCACAGCCUCAAGUUCAAAAGUGAAUUAAAACUCAAAGAAGCCUGGGGACAGGGACAAGAGUACUUCUGUCAUUCAUUCUCUUCCCCUGCUUCCUUGGGGACAAGGGUGGCCUGGAGGAACAAUAGUGUCCCCUGGCCCCUUCUUCCUGCAUUGGGUUAGAAAAGGCAGCAGAAAGCAGUGGGGAUGACAAAGACACACACACACACACACACACACACACACACACACACACACACCCCAGGCUUGAGAAGGGAGGAGGAGGAGGCGUCUCUGGCUGGACGGACAGACUGUUAUUUUGGUGGUGGGCAUGGUCCCAGAUAGGGGCAGCGUUCCCCUUUUUCCUGGCUUUUCAGGGAGAGCAGCAAGAGAAAGAAAGAAGCAAACGAAAUUCCUGAAUGGAUAAGAGAUGCUACGUCAGCGGUACUGGAGCCGCAUCCUCCACUCCACGAGAAGAGAAGAGCUAGGAGAGACCAGCGGGCGGUAGCUGCGGCGAGUGGCCUCUCCGUGCGGCACAGAGGCAAGAAGCAGCCAUCCAUCCAGAAGCAGCCUCCGUGUUCCGUUUGUCCGGAUGUCAUCGUAGGUGGCCGGCAUCUCUGGCUUUGGGGUAUUUAUUUCCUUCCUUGCUUUGAUGGUGGUGUGGGUGGGGGAGGGGAAAAGGGAAGCUAGUCCUGUUCCACCCCAGCUCUCCACCCCACUCGCUGUCUCUUCUAGGCUUUGAUUUUGGUCCAUUUUGUAGUAAGAACUGCAUUGUCAAAGCUAAGAAGCAAUGCAAACAACAUAGCCUGGGGACAAAAGGCCACCCUGUGUCUGGUUCGGUGCAGAGAGGAAAGCGCCCUCCCUCUUCUUCCACAGCUCCCUGGGGACGAGAUGGGGGUCUUUGACUCUGGGGAAGUGGUUGAGAAAGGUUUGAGAAAGGGACAGAGAUAGCUAAGGGGGUGUCAGGUGAGCCAGGAGAGCAGUAUAGAUUGGGAUGGAUGGGGUGGGGGGAGCUGGGUCUUUAAGUCGCUGAGUGGGUACAUGAGCACCUUUAGCAUUGGGAGAUAAUGCUACUUGCCUUGUCCAUGAAUUUACCACUGAAUGUGUCUGAGUUUAUGGGUGUGAGAGUGCAUGCCUGUGAUUGAGUAUGGGUGUGCUUUACACACUCGCGCUUUUGACCAGAGAAGAGCUUAUGGGAAACAUGGAUGACUAAGCUGACCCCUGGCCAUCUUAGUCACCAUGUCUCAUUUCCCUACAAUGUAGGACUGGGGCAAUAGGCAUGUGAGUCCAUGGGGAGCAGACCAGGAGGAGCUGGGAAGGCUGAAAAUGCUCCCACUUCCAGGAAGGGUGUGUCUCAGGGGCCACCUCCUCUAAAUGGAGUCUCCAGGCAUCCUAACCUCAUCAGUGCAUUGCUAACUGCUGUUACUUUUAUUUGUCCCAAUGCUAUACACAUUGCAGGCAUUCAGUGACAGAAUACUGUUUAAUAGUAGCCACAGUAAUUAGUAGCACAGUAAUUCUGUUGCAGAGAUAAGCACACCCCCAGAUAAAGCUCUGAGUGUAUCUUUAAGGCAAAUCCACCUUGCAAACAAGGGAAAACUAUGUUUUUAUUAUACUUUCUAAGCAUUAAUCCCUUAUGCACUACUUUACUAUUUCAGGAAAGUGCUUUACUGCCAAAGUUUACAUAGAGUCUCAAAAGGUCCAGUCCAGACAGCAUAACUGAGCCUGUGCUUCUGUCUCUGUAGGCCCUUCAGACUCAGAGACAAUAGGUGGGCAGCUGUAUUGAGAGGGGACAUUGGCUUUGGUUGUAGCUGUGCCUCAAGGCUUAGGUGUUUGCCUAGUAUGUAUUGAGCCCUGGGUUUGAUCCCAGGAACCCCCAAAGGAUGAAGGCUCCUGGAACACCCACAGACCCCUAUUAGCACAAAGAGUUGAAAUGUCCUCCCAAGAAGUAGUCACAGUGAGAGCCACAGGCCACCAGAGAGUAGACUGCUUUGUGCUGGAGGAGACAGAAAGGGCUCUGCUCCUUAGGAGACUGAGGCUGGUGAGCCAAUCCAGCCCUCUGGGCGCUUGUGCCCAGCCCUGAGUCCUGCAGACUUGCUGCAUCCAUUGCUGUUCUCUGUUGUCUCCUCUGACACAAAUACAUUUCUCAAAGAUUCUGCAUAAACCUUCCCUACUGUUUUGGUUUGUGAAGGAAGAAUACAAUACGUCAGAAAGAAAAAAGGAAAAAAAAAAACUUGUCUUUGAGGACUACUUUUGAAGGAGUUUCUUAUUUUAAACUGGAAGAACGUAAUUUAUACUCACACUGAUUCCAGUUAAAAGGAGCAGAAGGUCCUCUGCUUCUCUCUGUGCAUAGUGAGGUCCCAUUUACACUGGGGCAAAGGUGUCAUUCACCUGCACCCCUAAAGGAUCAAUGGGGGUGCCAGCUUGUCCUGUGAACCCAGACAAAAUUUGCUUCCCUGGCAACUGGACAGAGGAGGGCAUUCUAACAUGCAGUGGGCUGUUCUUUUGUGGGUUAUCUUCUUGAUUUGGAUGCUGUUAAACUGAACUGCCCCUAAAAAGCUCAAAUUCAAUAUAAAAGGUGGCAGGACUUUAUUCUGUAUCUGCUGUGUGGGGAACAAUUUUUUAGCACCCAGCAAAGUGUGUUCAUUUCUUCCUUAAGGUUAAUUUUUGAGAAAGUCCAGUUGAGCCUGAAUUUGGCCAUUAGGAAUAUGGGGUGGGAGUGUACAUCGGACAAGGAAAUCUUUGUGUAUUCUCUCCUUCCCAACAAAAAUACAGCAGUGCCUGAGAGGAAAAGUUUGACUGGCUCAGCUGCCUCCUACCUCAAGGCUUGCAGGACUCCAGGGCAGGGGGUUCCUGUAGAGGGCUGGGAAUGGUAAAACUUGGUGAGACGGAAGGGAAACAUCUUACUAGCAGCUAGGGCUCUCUUUUCCAAGGCUGGCUCUGACCUCCAAACUUUUUGGUGUUGGGAAGGGAGGAGAGGACAAAGGUACUUCAGGGGUUUGAAAGCAGUUUUGUGGGAAGAGCAAACCAAUGCUCUUAGGAAGCUAGGUCAGCAUGUGGGGAGGAGUUUAGUGUGCAUGUCACAUGUAUGUCAGGCAUCCUUGAAAGGGCACAAGGUGGCAUGAAGGGCAUGAGGGAGCAUGCAGAGAACGGGUCACAGGCUUGUAGGCAUGGUGGAGAAAUGUAGUCAAGGGCUUUACCAGGGUUGAUCUAGGAAUUGUAUUUAGCACCAUGCCCAGAGGGAAAGUUGCCUAGAGAACAUUUGGGGGGAAGAAACCCCUUUUUCUGCAGGUGUACUGGAGCUCCAGGAGCUCCCAAGCCCUCUGGGCACACCAUUCUGAGCUGUAGGGGAGUGAAGGAGACAGUUUAGGGUGUGCCCUUUUCUCUGCCCCACCAUUGGACAUGGCUUAGUUCUGGCAAAUCAUCCAAGCUGCCAAAGCUUCUAGAACACCUCUCCCCCAGCUGGUUUUGGUGGUGCAUACAGGCUUGUAAUCUCAGCACUUGGGAGGCUGGAGGCAAGAAGAUCAAAAUUUCAAAGCUGGUCUGUGCUAAAAUAAGUUCAAGGCUAGCCUGAGCAGCUUAGCGAGACUGUCACAGAAUAAAAAGUGAAAGAGGUAGGGCUUAGGGGCAGUAAAAGAGGUCUGGGGUAGUGGGGCUUGCCUGGCCUAUAAGAGGCCCUGGGCUUAACCCUCAG
rnacentral:lncRNA from 1 species